GAGAGAAGGGCGGAGCACUGCAGGGAGAUGUCUGUCGCACGUUAGCUUGGGUAACUGCUCGAGGGGUGAGGGGGGCAGGGAUCUCCUUAUGCUGUAGGUGUCCACCUGAGAUAUAAGAUGGAGGGGAUUGAGUGCCUGUGCUUCUGGCCGGCUGGAAAUGUUUUCUUCAAAGUCACCUGCAGUAGCGAUACCAUUGAGUAAUAGGUGGGACACGCCUGUUGCCGGGCCCAGAAGACACAGGUGUCCCUAAGCAGCCAGGGAACAGGAAGAAACCAUCUGAACUUCCAGUAUGGGGGUGUAUACCAUGGAUUUUGUUUGAAAACUACAAGGUGUUCUACAUU